rnacentral:rRNA from 1 species
AAAGCACUUUGAAAAGAGAGUUCACAAGUGCGUGAAACUGUAUUCUGUAAAGCAAAUGACCGAACAAAUUUUUCUUUGCAAUCUGGCGUUAGCGUACGUGGCUAGAAGUACAUGGUGCGUGAUUGUACCAGCUGUUUGCACUAAUUUGCCUCGUUUAGUGUUGCCGAUUGUGUGAAUUUUGCCAGCAGGCUUACUAUGAAGAGUGGAUAUACGGCUACGCUUGCCCAGUGUUCCCGUUUCAAUAUCCUAAACUCACCAGAAGAUUCGCACCGUGUGUGUUUUCUUUUGUCUACAGUAAGCCUGCCGUAAAGAAGCAAUGUAAACUGUUUUGCUGUGUGCUUGUUACUGCAGUCACUGUAACUGAAGUGUUUUGACUGUACGUGGCUACUUGCAGUGAAUUUAUUGCUAGAAAUCAAAAUUGGCAAAAUAUUUGUUGUUCGGCGUUUGGGCCGUCUUGAAACACGGACUAAGGAGUUCAACUUGAAUGCGAGUUGCUUUCUGGUGAGAGUUUUGAAUGCGAAGUGAAAGCAACUCUGAAAAGAGAGAAGUUAACUGAUAGUUUGCGAACUUGAUGACUAGCACAUGUGAUGGGUAGCACACUAUUGUUGCUUACUGUACCUGAGCGUUCAGGUUGAGACCCGAAAGAUGGUGAACUAUGCCUGAGUAAGACGAAGCCAGGAGAAAUUCUGGUGGAGGUCCGAAGCGGUUUUGACGUGCAAAUCAAUCGUAUAACUUGGGCAUAGGGGCGAAAGACUAAUCGAACUGUCUAGUUGCUGGUUCCCUCCGAAGUUUCCCUCAGGAAAGCUGGUGUGUAUGUGUUAGUUUUACCUGGUAAAGCUAAUGAAUGGAGGGAUCGGAGUUGUAAUAUCUUUGACCUACUCUCAAACUUUAAACAGAUAAGAACAAGCUUGCUUAUUUAACGGGCACUGCUGUUGAAUAACACACACGCCAAGUGGGCCAUUUUUGGUAAGCAGAACUGGCGCUGUGGGUUGAACCGUACGAAGAGCUAAAGUGUCUAAUGCACUUCUCAAAAGAUACCAUGAAAGGCGUUAGUUGAUAUAGACAGCAGGACGGUGGCCAUGGAAGUCGGCAUCCGCUAAGGAGUGUGUAACGACUCACCUGCCGAAUCAACUAGCCCUGAAAAUGGAUGGAGCUAUAGACGGGAACUGAUGCUCUUCCAUUGAGAUUUUGUCGGUUGACUACCACUCUCAGUGUGUAGGAGGGCGUAGACGUUGACUGCGAAGCGUACAAUGCGAGUUGGCGUGAAGUUGGCGCUUGCGCAGAUCUUAGUGGCAGUAGCGAGUAUUCAAAUUAAAACUUUGAAGACUGAAGUGGAGAGGGGUUCCAUGUGAACAACAUUUGAACAUGGUUCAGCCGAUCCUAAGAGUGUGUGAAAUUCUGUGAUAUAGUGUGGGGCACUAGUUGAGCCCACACAAUCGAAAGGGAAUCGGGUUAAGAUUCCCGAGCCAGGUUCAAGACUAUGACGUACGCUCCUCGCGAGAGUGCGUCAGUAAGCGGUAACGCUCGCAAACCCAGAAACAGCCAUGUGAUGCUCGGGGAAGAGUUCUCUCUUCUUUGUUAGGUAUGCUUACCCUAGAAAUGAUUUCAUCGGAGGCAGGGUUAAAAUACCGUAUUGCGACGCGAAUCCUGCAUCGCACCGAGCCCAUUGCAUGGUCCGUGAAAAUCUGGGAGCGUAUGUUUGUCUUGCUCCUGAUCGUACCUAAUUCCGCAUCAGGUCUCCAAGGUGUAUAGCCUCUAGUCUAUGGGACAAAGUAGGCAAGGGAAAUCGGCAAAUUAGAUCCGUACCCUUGGUAAAAGGAUUGGCUCUGAAGGCUGAGCUGAUCGGACUGUUGUCAUAAGCGACGGCGGCGUGAUGGGUCUGACAAACCAUCUCUUUGAACGGCAAUCGGACCCUGCGUUUUCCGUUUUGCGGACGACUGCAGCUUGACAGUGCACGAUAGUGUGCUGAUAUCGAUUGGCGCCUAACAGCCGCUUCAGAACUGGUACGGACAAGGGGAAUCCGACUGUUUAAUUAAAACAAAGCAUUGCGAUUGCCGUCACCGGUCUUGACGCAAUGUGAUUUCUGCCCAGUGCUCUGAAUGUUAACGUGGCGAAAUCCAAAUAAGCGCGUGUAAACGGCGGAAGUAACUAUGACUUUCUCGAGGUAGCCAAAUGCCUCGUCAUCUAAUUAGUGACGCGCAUGAAUGGAUCAAUGAGAUUCCCGCUGUCCCUGUCUGCAGCCCAGCGAAACCACAGCCAAGGGAACGGGCUUGGAACUAGACGGCGGGGAAAGAAGACCCUGUUGAGCUUGACUCUAGUCAGUUAUUGUCAAGAAACAUGAGAGACGUAGGAUACGUGGGACCUCCGGGGUCAGUGAAAUACCACUGCUUUCAUUGUGUCUUGAAUUACUCGAUGGUUUUGUUACAAACUCUCAUUCAUAAAUUGCUUGCUUCAGUGCAGGUAUUGCCACUUUUUGAGAACACUUACUGAUUGGGAGUUUGACUGGGGCGGUACAUCUGUUAAAAUCUAACGCAGGUGCCCAAAGGUGAUCUCAGCGAGGACGGAAGCCUCGCAUAGAGUGAAAGGGCUAAAGAUUGCUUGAUCUUGAUUUAUACUACGAAUUUGGACGAUGAAAAUUUGGCCUUUCGAUCCUUUUGAAUUUUACGGGUUUUAAGCAAGAGGUGUCAGAAAAGUUACCACAGGGAUAACUGGCUUGUGGCGGCCAAGCGGUCAUGC